GCCCGCUUAGCUCAGUGGUAGAGCGCGUCACUUGUAAUGGAUCAUUUGAUCCAAGAGAUGAUGAGGUCGGUUGUUCAAUCCAGCCAGUGGGCA
rfam:Rhizopogon vinicolor AM-OR11-026 unplaced genomic scaffold K503scaffold_17, whole genome shotgun sequence.